CGUAGCUCCGUAGAUCCAUCGCCGAAGUUUCGGAUCUCGUUUCCGGCGAACUUUUCCGGCGAACGUUCGGCGAGCGUUUCCGGCCAUCUCCGGCAUCUCCAGCAGAAACCGUCACCAUCCCGAGAUGACAUCUUCUUCUUCGUUUCCGACCAUCGCGACCCUAUACGGCAUCACCGCGGCGUCACCGGCGACCCUGCGCCCCACGCUGUAACCCCCGCAGCACCCCGACCCGCGCCCCUUGGCGUGCUGCUGCGAGCAGGCAGGAGCCGCCGCUUCCUGCUCCGUGCAGUGCGUGCGAGCAGGCCACCCUGCACCGGCCCUAGCAGGCGGGCCGACCACCGCCGUAGCCUGGCACGGCCGCGCCGGCAGGCUACCCCACGACCAGGCCAAGCUAGCCCUCCCUCUCUGGCGCGACGCAGCAGAUGCACAACCAUGGCCAGAACUUGACGUUCGUGAGAAGAAGAUGACCCAAGAAGAAGUGUGGUUCGUCAACAGUGAAGAUCAGGCGCUGAGGACCGAUAAUCGAAGCAGAAGUUGGAGAUCAGAAAAAAGAAGCCAAAGAAUUCUGAGCAGAUAAACACUGGGAAUUAAGGCAA